AGCGAACGCUGGCGGCAGGCCUAACACAUGCAAGUCGAACGGCAGCACGGGUGCUUGCACCUGAUGGCGAGUGGCGAACGGGUGAGUAAUAUAUCGGAACGUGCCCAGUCGUGGGGGAUAACGUAGCGAAAGCUACGCUAAUACCGCAUACGAUCUACGGAUGAAAGCGGGGGACCUUCGGGCCUCGCGCGAUUGGAGCGGCCGAUAUCAGAUUAGGUAGGUGGUGGGGUAAAGGCUCACCAAGCCAACGAUCUGUAGCUGGUCUGCGAGGACGAGCAGCCACACUGGGACUGGGACACGGCCCAGACUCCUACGGGAGGCAGCAGUGGGGAAUUUUGGACAAUGGACGCAAGUCUGAUCCAGCCAUUCCGCGUGCAGGACGAAGGCCUUCGGGUUGUAAACCGCUGUCGUAGAGGAGGAAAUGCAGGUGGGUUCUCCCAUCUGUUUGACCUAUUCUAGGAGGAAGUACGGGCUAAGUUCGUGCCAGCAGCCGCCGUAAAAC
rnacentral:rRNA from 1 species